ACGAACGCUGGCGGCGUGCUUAACACCUGCAAGUCGAACGGAAAGGCCCCAGCUUGCUGGGGUACUCGAGUGGCGAACGGGUGAGUAACACGUGGGUGAUCUGCCCUGCACUCUGGGAUAAGCCUGGGAAACUGGGUCUAAUACCGGAUAGGACCGUGCUUUAGUGUGUGCGGUGGAAAGUUUUUCGGUGCAGGAUGAGCCCGCGGCCUAUCAGCUUGUUGGUGGGGUAAUGGCCUACCAAGGCGGCGACGGGUAGCCGGCCUGAGAGGGUGUACGGCCACAUUGGGACUGAGACACGGCCCAGACUCCUACGGGAGGCAGCAGUGGGGAAUAUUGCACAAUGGGCGCAAGCCUGAUGCAGCGACGCCGCGUGGGGGAUGACGGCCUUCGGGUUGUAAACCCCUUUCGGCAGGGACGAAGCUUUUGUGACGGUACCUGCAUAAGAAGCACCGGCUAACUACGUG
rnacentral:rRNA from 1 species